rnacentral:rRNA from 1 species
UAAUACGGAGGAUCCGAGCGUUAUCCGGAUUUACUGGGUUUAAAGGGUGCGUAGGUGGAAUGUCAAGUCAGUGGUGAAAACCUAUAGCUUAACUAUAGAACUGCCAUUGAUACUGUCAUUCUUGAGUGUAUUUGAUGUAAGUGGAAUGUGUCGUGUAGCGGUGAAAUGCUUAGAUAUGACACAGAACACCCAUUGCGAAGGCAGCUUACAAAACUACUACUGACACUGAGGCACGAAAGCGUGGGGAUCAAACAGGAUUAGAUACCCUGGUAGUCCACGCCGUAAACGUUGAUUACUAGAUGUGUGCGAGCAAUUGCACGUGUCAAAGCGAAAGCGUUAAGUAAUCCACCUGGGGAGUACGACCGCAAGGUUG